rnacentral:lncRNA from 1 species
AAUUUCCCCUCCAACAAUUACAAUUCAUCCAUAAUAAUUUUUCAUUAGGUCUAGGACACUGCAAGGUAGCCAUCCUCUUAAUGGUUUCACAUCAAAUUAUUUUGGGUCUUGUCUAGAGAUACUUUUCAAUACCUUCUCAAGGAGGAGCGAAAUCAAACAAUACCUAUUGUGCCUUCCCCAGAAUCCCUAAAUCCAGCAAUUUUUCACUGCAAUAGUGGGUGCUGGGAUGCUGUGGGUCAUGAGGGUCACACCCAGCAGUGCAGACCUCAAAGAUCCCAGUGUGGUGUCCUGCAGAAACAGCAGCUCUGCUGGAGAUCACCCAGAUCCCAAAAUGUUAAUUCCUGCAGAAUUAAUUCCUGUCCUGUUCUGAAGCAGCAUCAGAUGAACCCAGUGAGGGUUUCAGAGUGCUCAAUAAACCAGCACAGCCUGACUGGUUAGCCCAGGGCCCCACUCACAAGCUCUGCCUGGAGCUGCCCUCCCUGGGCUGCUCAUGCCCAAAAACAGAGAAAACACAAAUAUUUGAGACUGUCUUGCAUACAACCUGUUUGCUCUGCUGUUUAUUAAUUCCUCAUUCAGCUGUGCAAAAAAACAUCUAUAAUAUCACUUUCAACCCUGGCUGUGAAGUGGCCAAGAAAACAAGUGUUCACUUCCCUGGGGAUGAGCACACUUCCUUUCCUUGGAGUGCUCCGGUGCCCCUGCUCCGGGGGAAAUUCCACUACUGCUCUCCUUCUGUUGAGACAUAUGACUGCAAACAUGCUCUUCUCACAAGCACAUAAAUGUUUCCUCUCAAUCACAGCAAACUAUGUCUGUCAGCUGCUCAUUUCCUCACAGUACAUGGUUAUAUGUUUUGUAUUGAAUUGUAUUUUCUGUGAUGAAAUUGUCUUGCCUAAUUUGAAAUGGAAAAAAAAAACAAACAAAAAACCAACCCAACAAACCACAAAACUCAAACAAAACCAAAUCACAGAAAAACCCAAGGAAAAGCAUUGAGCUGUUUGAUGAUGAUGGUUUAUGAUUUCUCUGAGGAGCUGUGUUUUAUAAAUUGCUGAAUAUCUGUGCUGAGGAGCUCAGCAGCUCUCAGGACGUACCUGUGAAUAAUUGACAAAAUCAGUUCUGAGCUUAAACUCUUCUGAAGCUCUCUGAACUUGGGCAGUCUGGGAAAAAAAAAAAAAAAGAAAAA